CUAAGAGAAAGGUUCAAAAUUAAGUAUUAUUUUAACUCUUCCUUUGUUUUUUAAAUCUUAUUUAUUAUAUAUAAAAAAAUAAGUGGGGGGGUUUAGCUCAGUUGGCUUAGAGCACCGGCUUUGCAAGCCGGGGGUCAAGGGUUCAAGUCCCUUAACCUCCAAAGAUAUUUUUAUUUAGAUGUUUAAUUAUUGACAGUAAAUUCUAUGUUUUUCUCAUUGAUGAGAAUUUAAUUUAAAAACUUGUUGCUUGUUGUUAUAUGCAAAUAUGUUUAAGGCAUAUCUUUAACUGGGAUCAGGAUGAGUUGAACA
rnacentral:misc_RNA from 1 species